UUGAUUGCAGUAGUAGCUCCAUUGCUCGCAUCUUGUUCCACCUCUUAUCUCGCUCUCCCCUCGCCCACCACCCACCAGCCGCCUCCACUGCCACUGAGUACUGAUGAAGCUUCAACCAUCGCCCGAUAUGCCGUGUACAGCUCCGUCCAUCGCAUGAAUCAGCUUCACAACCCGGUUCAGUCUUGCUGUCGUCCGCUGCAGAUCGAGCUGCUCCCUCGACUCCGCUGCAGAUCCCGUAGUUUCCAUCAGGUACUCUGUUCUGAGCCAGAGAGUUCAUCACACGCACAGAUGUGUUCCGAAUAAGCUUUGGCUUUAGAUUAGAUGCUUGCCUGCAGUUUUAGCAGUUUUAUAGAGAAAAGUUUUCGCCUGCCAUGUGUUCGACAGAUUGUCCCACCGCCAACUAGAGGCCGAGACGGGCUGCCAAAAUGGCCAAAUCUUAUUGUACUAGUAGUAGUAUGCACAGUACAGUGAUCUCAUCCUGUUCUUGCCACUAGUGGAUAUUGUGUGUCAUAAAAGUCGUACUAGCUCUUAGUUGCGUCUGCAUGACAUCUGUGUCCUUGGCUGCAUAGUCUGAUGUUCGACUUCUCUCUUCUUAUGCUGCAGAAUUGAUCACACUGG
rnacentral:lncRNA from 1 species